UGGGAAGCUGGUUCUGAAGAGUUGAGUGGAUCUAAAGAUAGUGGUUGAUAGGUUAACUCUCUGUGGAUUCGACCCUGGGCGUGAUACUCGGAUUAUAUUUGCAACGUACGCAAAAUCCUUUUUAUAAGGCAUAGUUGCGCGUGAUCACCACUCGAGUCUUCAAACUCACAUUUAAUUUCCUUUUCUUUCAAUUGAUGUAACGCUACUUUAAUUAGCAACUAAUGAGAGCUAACGUUCAGUUUGACAAAAUAUUAAAUUAUGGCAUUCAUAGACUGAAGGCAAAUCCUCUAACUAAUCAAACACAGUCCAAACAUUCAUGUUACAGCCCAGAUCAGUUCAAUAGGCCAGUAUAGCCUGGUUUUUUCACCACAAAAAUCGAACAUGGAUGCCACAGUGUGAACUAACACACCCCAGUAACAAAAUCUAUUCUACAAUCUAGAAUCAGUUCAAUUAUACCAAACCAGCAGAAAUUUAUGUAAACAUAAAUCAGUAAAAAAAAAGACUAAAUCGGAACUCAGACUUCAAUUCUUCAUAUAUAUUCAUGCUUCCAUAUUUUUAGCUUACAAUAGCCAAGCUUACAGCUGUGUACAUGGAAAUGGAAAUACAGUGAGAAGAGAAGGAGGUCAGCAACGAGUAACAAUUCCAGCAAAUCAACAACAACUCAACAACAACAAUUCAACCCAAGUUCGAAGCCUAGAAAAUUUUGAAAACCAAACGGAGUUGAUAGAACAACCUCUACAUAAUACCAAAACUCAAGAAUGAAUCAGGGACUGAAGUAUAAGGAGCUAGCUGAUCUAUACACUGACUCGAACCAAUAGACUCAGACCAAAUAGACUAAAGGGACUGGAUUCUAGCUCGAAACUGGAAAGAUAAUGAGAUGGAUCAAUGAAAAAGUAUUCUCUUUUCUCAAUGUUUUCAAACCCCCUCAAAACUGUAUAAGAACUCUCUCCAAAACUGAAUGCCUUAAAAAGAUUUAUAUCUCUCUAAAAAUUGAGUUUAAGCUUUCAAAACUCUCAAACUCUUUAAGACUGAAUGUCUUAGAUCUCAAAAUUUUCUCCUCUCUCUCUCUUGUCCUUCUUUGUUGUUCUUAAUCUCUUAAACUCUAGACUUUCUCUUCUCAAAAAUGUUUCAAUCUCCCCUUAUCUUAGUGUGUGUAUCUUCUAUUUAAAGACUAGACUUAACUCCCAUUUUCUCUUUCCGGCUUGUAUAUUCUAAACAUUUUACCAUUACCCUCAUGUUUUUUACUUUCCAGCUUGUAUAUUCCCUCCCCAUGUGCACCCUUUUAGCCUUUUCAUUAUUACCCCCCAUUAUUCCCCGUGUGCACCCUCCGAUCUCCUAUUAACUUCUUUCCCCGUGUUUAUUUCUAAUGUUAUCCACUUUUCAGUCCCUUUUUACUUUCUUUAUACUUGUAUUAUUUCAACUUUUUGUCCCUCCAUGUUCUAUUCUGAUUUCCAGCCUGUUUUAGCACUUAGGUUAUUAAGAAAUGUAUUUCCCCAUCAUAUUCCAGCUCUUAGGAGCACUAACCUAUUAAGAAAGUUAAUGAACCCAUGUUAUUCCCUGAUUCUGCCCACUACUGAAUGUCCCCUUCCCUUAUUAAGCAAAUACCUUAGUUUAAUGGUAUCUUAUUACUCACUGACGGAACACUAACUCAACCAUUUUCAAAUUACUUACAUCCCAAACUACCAUCUGGAAACCUGAAAUUACAACCCCAUCAGCUAUAACCAAUCAUCAACAACAACAACAACAACAACAACUACCCAGUAUACUCCCACCAGGUGGGGUCUGGGGAGGGUAAUAUGUAGGCAGUCUUACCCCUACCCAAAAGG
rnacentral:lncRNA from 1 species